UACACAUGCAGUCGACGGUGAAGCAGACGUUGCUCUNUUGGAUCAGUGGCGAACGGGUGAGUANACACGUGAGCACCUGCCCUUGACUCUGGGAUAAGCGCUGGAAACGGCGUCUAAUACCGGAUAUGAGCUGCGAUCGCAUGGUCAGCAGUUGGAAAGAUUUUUCGGUCUGGGAUGGGCUCACGGCCUAUCAGCUUGUUGGUGAGGUAAUGGCUCACCAAGGCGUCGACGGGUAGCCGGCCUGAGAGGGUGACCGGCCACACUGGGACUGAGACACGGCCCAGACUCCUACGGGAGGCAGCAGUGGGGAAUAUUGCACAAUGGGCGAAA
rnacentral:rRNA from 1 species